GAGUUUGAUCAUGGCUCAGGAUGAACGCUAGCGGCAGGCUUAACACAUGCAAGUCGAGGGGUAUAGUUCUUCGGAAUUAGAGACCGGCGCACGGGUGCGUAACGCGUAUGCAAUCUACCUUUCACAGAGGGAUAGCCCAGAGAAAUUUGGAUUAAUACCUCAUAGUAUAACGACUCUGCAUGGAGAUGUUAUUAAAGUCACAACGGUGAAAGAUGAGCAUGCGUCCCAUUAGCUAGUUGGUAAGGUAACGGCUUACCAAGGCUACGAUGGGUAGGGGUCCUGAGAGGGAGAUCCCCCACACUGGUACUGAGACACGGACCAGACUCCUACGGGAGGCAGCAGUGAGGAAUAUUGGACAAUGGGCGCAAGCCUGAUCCAGCCAUGCCGCGUGCAGGAUGACGGUCCUAUGGAUUGUAAACUGCUUUUGCACAGGAAGAAACAACGCUACGUGUAGCGUCUUGACGGUACUGUGAGAAUAAGGAUCGGCUAACUCCGUGCCAGCAGCCGCGGUAAUACGGAGGAUCCAAGCGUUAUCCGGAAUCAUUGGGUUUAAAGGGUCCGUAGGCGGUUUAGUAAGU
rnacentral:rRNA from 1 species